AGAGCGAACGCUGGCGGCAGGCCUAAAACAUGCAAGUCGAACGGACCCUUCGGGGUUAGUGGCGGACGGGUGAGUAACACGUGGGAACGUGCCUUUUGGUUCAGAACAACUCAGGGAAACUUGAGCUAAUACUGAAUAAGCCCUACGGGGGAAAGAUUUAUCGCCAUUAGAGCGGCCCGCGUUGGAUUAGCUAGUUGGUGAGGUAAAGGCUCACCAAGGCUACGAUCCAUAGCUGGUCUGAGAGGAUGAUCAGCCACACUGGGACUGAGACACGGCCCAGACUCCUACGGGAGGCAGCAGUUAGGAAUCUUGCGCAAUGGGCAAAGCCUGACGCAGCCAUGCCGCGUGAAUGAUGAAGGUCUUAGGAUUGUAAAUUCUUCAGUGGGAAGAUAAUGACUGUACCCACAGAAGAAGCUCCGGCUAACUUCGUGCCAGCAGCCGC
rnacentral:rRNA from 1 species